rnacentral:lncRNA from 1 species
GGGGCCGAUAGGACCCUAGGGGCUACAGGAGGAGGACAGAGUCGAGGGAAAUACUCUCUGUGCAAUUGUCCUUGGUGAGCUGGGACAAUACGAGUCAUACCUAGGCCGGGGAAGAGGCUUAGGUGGACAGGACCUAGCUGCGGAGCUCAGUGGUCGAAUGGGGAUAGCCUAGACAGGGCCAUGAGAGCGAGUGAAUUAACGGGUAUUAAGUUUUUCCGGAUUGGUUUGGGUCUGUCUGGCGAGGAGAUAUUAAAGGAGAGACAAGUAAUGGGUUGGAAGGUGGACUCCCUAAUCUUCGAUUCUUAUAAGUGAACUACGUUGAAGAGUAGCCGAAAAUGAGGGCGUCCCAUAUUGUCACCGCCCCGUCUGAGCAAACCUCAUGAUCAGAGAGAAAAGGUCUCCUGGUCUUUCGAGGGUUUAUUGGUCAGUUGGGUGCUAAAACGACAGAAUAAAGUUUACAGCGAGACUCCCGAUAGGAUGAGCAAAAUAUCACGAGUACAUAUGGAGCAGAUGCCUACAAGAGGACUUUGCUUAUGCUUUAAGCAUAGCAUUCAGGGCCAGGCGCGGUGGUUCACACUUGUAAUCCCAGCACUUUGAAAGUCCGAGGCAGAAGGAUGGCUUGAGCCCAG